UACGUAGGGGGCAAGCGUUGUCCGGAUUUAUUGGGCGUAAAGAGCGUGUAGGCGGCCAUACAGGUCCGUUGUGAAAACUGGAGGCUUAACCUCCAGACGUCGAUGGAAACCGUAUGGCUAGAGUCCGGAAGAGGAGAGUGGAAUUCCUGGUGUAGCGGUGAAAUGCGCAGAUAUCAGGAAGGACACCCGUGGCGAAGGCGGCUCUCUGGGACGGUACUGACGCUGAGACGCGAAAGCGUGGGGAGCGAACAGG
rnacentral:rRNA from 1 species